GGAAGUAUCUAGCACGUGCCUAAAAGACAAGCACUGUGCAGGUUGACUGUAAAUCUAUUAGACCCCUCCCUGGAAAAAAGGAAAAAAGACGAGGUAUCUCUUUUCUUGCUUGGGAUUGAGGAUUCAAAGGGUAAAGUCCUCCUGUAACGAAUAGUGACAUUCUUUAGUUUGUAGCAGGUAUAAGCAUAUCAGUUUUCGUUUACAUUUUGUUAGCCCUUCGAUAGUUUUC
rnacentral:misc_RNA from 1 species